GCGUAAUAGCUCACUAGUCGAGUCGGCCUGCGCGGAAGAUGUAACGGGGCUAAAACUAUGUGCCGAAGCUGCGGAUGUAUACUUUGUAUACGUGGUAGGGGAGCGUUCUGUAAGCCGAUGAAGGUGGAUUGAGAAGUCUGCUGGAGGUAUCAGAAGUGCGAAUGCUGACGUGAGUAACGACAAAACGGGUGAAAAACCCGUUCGCUGAAAGACCAAGGGUUCCAGUCCAACGUUAAUCGGGGCUGGGUGAGUCGACCCCUAAGGCGAGGCCGAGAGGCGUAGUCGAUGGGAAAUUGGUUAAUAUUCCAAUACUUCAGUGUAAUGCGAUGAGAGGACGGAGAAGGUUAAGUCAGCCUGGCGUUGGUUGUCCAGGUGAAAGGAAGUAGGCAUGCAUCUUAGGCAAAUCCGGGGUGCUCUAUGCUGAGAUCUGAUAGCAAGCUGUACUUGUACAGUGAAGUGGCUGAUACCCUGCUUCCAGGAAAAGUCUCUAAGCUUCAGUUACACUGGAAUCGUACCCGAAACCGACACAGGUGGUCAGGUCGAGUAGACCAAAGCGCUUGAGAGAACUCUGCUGAAGGAACUAGGCAAAAUGGUACCGUAACUUCGGGAGAAGGUACGCUGUUGAUGGUGAUAGGACUUGCUCCUUGAGCUGUCGACAGCCUCAGAAACCAGGCCGCUGCAACUGUUUAUUAAAAACAUAGCACUCUGCAAACACGAAAGUGGACGUAUAGGGUGUGAUGCCUGCCCGGUGCUGGAAGGUUAAUUGAUGGGGUUAGCGUAAGCGAAGCUCUUGAUCGAAGCCCCAGUAAACGGCGGCCGUAACUAUAACGGUCCUAAGGUAGCGAAAUUCCUUGUCGGGUAAGUUCCGACCUGCACGAAUGGCAUAAUGAUGGCGGCGCUGUCUCCAGC
rnacentral:rRNA from 1 species